rnacentral:rRNA from 1 species
CAAGUCGAACGCGAAAGGGGCUUCGGCCCUGAGUAGAGUGGCGAACGGGUGAGUAACACGUGGGUGAUCUACCUUCGAGUGGGGGAUAACGUUCCGAAAGGAGCGCUAAUACCGCAUGACGUUCCGGGUUUGAAGACCUGGAAACCAAAGCCGGGGACCGCAAGGCCUGGCGCUUGGAGAGGAGCCCGCGUCCGAUUAGCUAGUUGGCGGGGUAACGGCCCACCAAGGCGACGAUCGGUAGCCGGCCUGAGAGGGCGGACGGCCACACUGGAACUGAGACACGGUCCAGACUCCUACGGGAGGCAGCAGUGGGGAAUUGUUCACAAUGGGCGCAAGCCUGAUGACGCAACGCCGCGUGGGGGAUGAAGGUCUUCGGAUUGUAAACCCCUGUCGAACGGGACGAAAGACUCGCGAGCUAAUCAUCGCGGGAGUGACGGUACCGUUAAAGGAAGCCACGGCUAACUCUGUGCCAGCAGCCGCGGUAAUACAGAGGUGGCAAGCGUUGUUCGGAAUUACUGGGCGUAAAGGGCGAGUAGGUGGCCAUCUAAGUCAGACGUGAAAUCCCCCGGCUUAACCUGGGAACUGCGUCUGAUACUGGACGGCUUGAGUAUGGGAGAGGAACGUAGAAUUCCAGGUGUAGCGGUGAAAUGCGUAGAUAUCUGGAGGAAUACCGGUGGCGAAGGCGGCGUUCUGGACCAUUACUGACACUGAAUCGCGAAAGCUAGGGGAGCAAACGGGAUUAGAUACCCCGGUAGUCCUAGCCCUAAACGAUGAAUGCUUGGUGUGGCGGGUAUCGAUCCCUGCCGUGCC